AGAUCUCGUGAGGGCAAUCUGGCUGCGACAUCUGUCACCCCAUUGAUCGCCAUGGUUGAUUCAGCUGAUCUGGCUAGCUAGGCGAGUGUCCCCUUCCUCCCUCACUGCUCCAUGUGCCUCCCUCCCGAAGCUGUGUGCUCGGUCAAAGAGGACGACCAUCCUUGAUAGAGGAGGACCGUUCUUCAGUCAAGGGUGUAUGAGUAGCUGUUCUCCCCUGCUAAAACCUCCAAACAAGCUCUCAAGAUCUUAAUCUGUGCACACAGGCUUAGCCUUGCCCAAGACCUACAGAAUUAGAGAGAAAACUAUACAGCCCAAACCUUCU
rfam:Tupaia chinensis contig62380, whole genome shotgun sequence.